CCCUUAGAUGUCCUGGGCCGCACGCGCGCUACACUGACAUGUUCAACAAGCCUCCUAGUUCGACAGGAUUUGGGAAAUCUUUGAACGCAUGUCGUGAUAGGGAUAGAUCAUUGCAAUUAUUGAUCUUGAACGAGGAAUUCCUAGUAAACGCGAGUCAUCAGCUCGCAUUGAUUACGUCCCUGCCCUUUGUACACACCGCCCGUCGCACCUACCGAUUGAAUGUUUCGGUGAAGAUUCCGGAUAGGACUUUUUUGAUUUAUUUCAAUUUUGUCUUAAAAGCUAUCUAAACCUCAACAUUUAGGGGAAGGUGAAGUCGUAACA
rnacentral:rRNA from 1 species